GACGAACGCUGGCGGCGUGCCUAAUACAUGCAAGUCGAACGAGAGCGACCGGUGCUUGCACUGGUCAAUCUAGUGGCGAACGGGUGAGUAACACGUGGGUAACCUGCCCAUCAGAGGGGGAUAACAUCCGGAAACGGAUGCUAAAACCGCAUAGGUCUUCGAGCCGCAUGGCUUGAAGAGGAAAAGAGGCGCAAGCUUCUGCUGAUGGAUGGACCCGCGGUGCAUUAGCUAGUUGGUGAGGUAACGGCUCACCAAGGCCGUGAUGCAUAGCCGACCUGAGAGGGUGAUCGGCUACAUUGGGACUGAGACACGGCCCAAACUCCUACGGGAGGCAGCAGUAGGGAAUCUUCCGCAAUGGACGCAAGUCUGACGGAGCAACGCCGCGUGAGUGAAGAAGGUUUUCGGAUCGUAAAACUCUGUUGUUAGAGAAGAACAAGUGCUAGAGUAACUGUUAGCGCCUUGACGGUAUCUAACCAGAAAGCCACGGCUAACUACGUG
rnacentral:rRNA from 1 species